rnacentral:rRNA from 1 species
CAGUCCCGCGGUAAUACGUAGGUGGCAAGCGUUGUCCGGAAUUAUUGGGCGUAAAGGGCUCGCAGGCGGUUUCUUAAGUCUGAUGUGAAAGCCCCCGGCUCAACCGGGGAGGGUCAUUGGAAACUGGGAAACUUGAGUGCAGAAGAGGAGAGUGGAAUUCCACGUGUAGCGGUGAAAUGCGUAGAGAUGUGGAGGAACACCAGUGGCGAAGGCGACUCUCUGGUCUGUAACUGACGCUGAGGAGCGAAAGCGUGGGGAGAGAACAGGAUUAGAUACCCCUGUAGUCCCUGUCUCUUAUACC